rnacentral:rRNA from 1 species
AGAACGAACGCUGGCGGCAGGCUUAACACAUGCAAGUCGAACGCGUGUAGCAAUACACGAGUGGCGCACGGGUGAGUAACGCGUGGAUAUCUGCCUUUUGGUUCGGAAUAACCCCGGGAAACUGGGGCUAAAUACCGGAUGGUUCCUACGGGAUAAAGAUUUAUCGCCAAAAAGAUGAGUCCGCGUACGAUUAGCUAGUUGGUGAGGUAAUGGCUCACCAAGGCGACGAUCGUUAGCUGGUCUGAGAGGACGAUCAGCCACACUGGGACUGAGACACGGCCCAGACUCCUACGGGAGGCAGCAGUGGGGAAUAUUGGACAAUGGGGGCAACCCUGAUCCAGCCAUGCCGCGUGAGUGAUGAAGGCCUUCGGGUUGUAAAGCUUCGUUUUGGCGGGGACGAUGAUGACGGUACCCGCAGAAUAACGCCCGGACUAACUUCGCGCCAGCAGCCGC